UUAGCCAAAUUGAUGUCCGCCUUAUUUGAUUACCCAUAAGAAUAGUUGUCUCUCUAUCAUUAGUAAUUAUUUAAGUUACACUAUGAGGAAGAAGAUUAUCAAAGCCUCGUAUUUUUUUGGGACGUACUUUUGAAAGUAUCCCAAUAAAAUGGAUAAACAUAAAAUGUGUCUUAAGUCAAAUAGUAAUUUGUCUAUGUUUACAAAGAUUAAUUGAAAUAAAAUAAAGGAAGUAAAUAAACAAAAAGCUGCUAUAGAUAUAAGUCUUUGAGCAACUCUCCAAGAACUCAUCUUUGCAAUAGCUUCCCUGUGCCGCUUUCCAACCACACAACCAGUGCAAAUAACGGGAAUCCUUGAGCACCGGUAAUCCUCAUAUCGUCCCGUACAAAUAUGUUGCUGAAUCACAACAAUCAGACCCUUCUGCUGAAGCUGACCAACAGUAAAGAGAUUAUUUUGCAAGAUGAUGAAGAGAUGAAGAUGAUGAUGGCUUUAUUUUAGUGGGAGGAGGCCAAAAUUGAUAGAAAAUGAUGAAAGAAGGUAGAAGAAAAAUGUUUUCAUAGAUGGAGGUUUUACCUGAGAGAGAGUGUGAGGAAGAAAAAUAAGUUUGGAAUGAAUGAGAGAGAAAAAAUAUAGAAAGUGAUGUUUGAUGAGAUAAGAGAAAAAGUAGGAGGGAUAAAAGGAUUUGAAAAAUGUUGAGAUUUGAAUUUUGAAUUGAAGAGGGAAAUUGUGUGAUAAUGAUAUUUUAUUGUUUAUACUAUGUGAAUGUUAAAAGUAGCAACUUUUAAAUUAUUUUUUAAUGGUGAUGUGACAUCAAGUGGUUUAGAAUUUGGACACAUUGGAUUGGUGCAAAUUUUUUUCUUAUUU
rnacentral:lncRNA from 1 species